GGAGGAGGAGGGGAAGAGAGAGAGAGAGAGAUUGUACCUUGAGAGGAACCCAUAGAAGAAAGCUCCCACACCACUGAGCCUUCUUCAGUAGAAUGAAAAUAUGCAAGAGAAAAAUCUCAUGAACCAGUCUCUCUCUACACCUGAUAAAAAUAGUACCACGCUCUCUCUCACUCUCUCUGCACUCCUCCCUGACAUCACUCAAACCUAAAACGCUUCCCCCAAUACUUGAUAAACAGAUCAUGAGAGUGGUUUAUACAGUUCUCCAUCACCACCAAGGUGAGAUUUGAAGCCAUGAAGCAAAGCAGAAGAGUUUAUAGAAGGUCCCAAACAAUGAGUUGCAGAUAUUCAAACCAGGAAAUAGCAUUAGGGUUUUGAGCACCGAGAGACGAGCGAGAGCAGAGAGAGGCAGGAAGAGAGAUUAACACAGAGGAGGAGAGAGAGGGAUGGAGGUUUAGAAAACCCAAAAUAUUAAGAUGGGAGAGACAGGAGAGAGAGAUGCAUGUGUCAUGGCGCCGACGGGAAGUACGGAUGAGAGAAAGUUUUACUUAAAAAAAAAUUUUAAAAAAGGGAGGAAAUUUAAUCUCACCUUGAUAUUUGGAUGGUACGAUUUGGAUCGUAAUCGAUGGUGAUGAGUUGGGUCUCAUGCUUGUAGGUGGGGG
rnacentral:lncRNA from 1 species